rnacentral:rRNA from 1 species
UACGUAGGGUGCAAGCGUUGUCCGGAAUUAUUGGGCGUAAAGAGCUCGUAGGCGGUUUGUCGCGUCUGCUGUGAAAACUCGGGGCUCAACUCCGAGCUUGCAGUGGGUACGGGCAGACUAGAGUGCGGUAGGGGAGAGCUGGAAUUCCUGGUGUAGCGGUGGAAUGCGCAGAUAUCAGGAGGAACACCGGUGGCGAAGGCGGGUCUCUGGGCCACUACUGACGCUGAGAAGCGAAAGCAUGGGGAGCGAACAGG